AACCAUGGUGAGGACAAAGAGUUUGUAGUUCUUUGAAUCUGUCCCAUGCCUGAUAUAGGGUCUUACUAUCCUUUUGGAUAAAAGAUGAGAUUUGCUUCUUAAGGGC
rnacentral:snoRNA from 1 species